GUGUCAGCCGCCGCGGUAAUACAGAGGGGGCAAGCGUUAUUCGGAAUUAUUGGGCGUAAAGGGCGCGUAGGCGGCUUCGCAAGUGGUGGGUGAAAUCCCUCGGCUUAACCGAGGAACUGCCCUCCAAACUGCGUUGCUUGAGUCCGGGAGAGGUGAGUGGAAUUCCCAGUGUAGCGGUGAAAUGCGUAGAUAUUGGGAGGAACACCAGUGGCGAAGGCGGCUCACUGGACCGGAACUGACGCUGAGGCGCGAAAGCGUGGGGAGCAAACGGGAUUAGAAACCCGCGUAGUCC
rnacentral:rRNA from 1 species